CCUACGGGAGGCAGCAGUAAGGAAUAUUGGUCAAUGGACGAAAGUCUGAACCAGCCAUGCCGCGUGAAGGAUUAAGGCCCUCUGGGUUGUAAACUUCUUUUAUCUGGGACGAAAAAAGGGUAUUCUUACUCACUUGACGGUACCAGAGGAAUAAGCACCGGCUAACUCCGUGCCAGCAGCCGCGGUAAUACGGAGGGUGCAAGCGUUAUCCGGAUUUACUGGGUUUAAAGGGUGCGUAGGUGGGCUUGUAAGUCAGUGGUGAAAUCUCCGGGCUUAACCCGGAAACUGCCAUUGAUACUAUAGGUCUUGAAUUAUCUGGAGGUAAGCGGAAUAUGUCAUGUAGCGGUGAAAUGCUUAGAUAUGACAUAGAACACCAAUUGCGAAGGCAGCUUACUACGGAUACAUUGACACUGAGGCACGAAAGCGUGGGGAUCAAACAGGAUUAGAUACCCUGGUAGUCCACGCCCUAAACGAUGGAUACUCGACAUCAGCGAUACACUGUUGGUGUCUGAGNGAAGANAUAUAUCCACCNGAGAGANCGCAGAUAGAACACAAGAAGUAGAGCGUGAGACGUGACCGACGGACGACGACGAGGGAGGAGG
rnacentral:rRNA from 1 species